rnacentral:rRNA from 1 species
CUUGGUCUUUAGAGGAAGAAAAGCGUAACAAGGUUUCCGUAGGUGAACCUGCGGAAGGAUCAUUAUCGAAAUUAUUGGUGAGGGUUGUAGCUGGCCUUUCGAGGCAUGUGCACGCUCGAGCCCUUAAUCCACUUUACACCUGUGCACUUAAUGUAGGUCGCCCUUAAAAAAGGUGACCUAUGUCUUAUCAUCAACCCAUCGUAUGUCUCAUAGAAUGUAAUCGAUAUCCUCGCCCUGAAAAAGCGUUGAUAAACUUAUACAACUUUCAACAACGGAUCUCUUGGCUCUCGCAUCGAUGAAGAACGCAGCGAAAUGCGAUAAGUAAUGUGAAUUGCAGAUUUUCAGUGAAUCAUCGAAUCUUUGAACGCACCUUGCGCUCCUUGGUAUUCCGAGGAGCAUGCCUGUUUGAGUGUCAUUAAAUUCUCAACUCCAAGGGUUUCACGACCUUUCGGAGAUUGGACUUGGAGGUGCUGGCCGCAUAUUGGUCGGCUCCUCUCAAAUGCAUCAGCGGAAUUCAACCUUUGGCUUCCGGAUGUCAGUGUGAUAAUCAUGUUGCGCUGUCGUUUGAUCCCUCAGAGUCCGCUUAUAAUGGUCUUCGGACAAAAUCAUCAUCAAAUUUGACCUCAAAUCAGGUAGGACUACCCGCUGAACUUAAGCAUAUCAAUAAGCGGAGGA